rnacentral:lncRNA from 1 species
GGGGGGGGGAGGGGAGGGGCUUAACAGGGAAGAGAAAAUCGGAUGAGACCUUACUCACUUCGGGAGCGACCAGACGGCCGGCGGGAGAUCCGAGGAUUGGGAAGACGGCUGCGAGGGACGGCAAUUCGGGGCCGGGAGGAGGGCCGGGCGCAACGGCCUGCCCGCUGGGCGCCGCCGACUUGGUGAGUGGGGAGGGAGGGGGAGGCGGAGGGGCGGGGAGCUCGCCCUGCUCGUCGAUUUGGGGGAGACGAGAAAGACGAAACUCCACGGGUUCAACCGCUAGCGGCAGGGGCAGGGCCCGUUUGGGAGCUUCGUAA